CAUCUAGUCCAUCCGUCCGAAAAAGCUUGUCCCAAACUUGUUUCUCAAAUGGAUGUAUCUAGCACAACUUGAUGCUAGAUACAUUUGGGACAAGCUUUUUCGGACGGAGGGAGUAGAAC
rfam:Triticum aestivum genome assembly, contig: Triticum_aestivum_CS42_TGACv1_scaffold_178702_2DS